rnacentral:rRNA from 1 species
CGUAGGUGGCAAGCGUUGUCCGGAAUUAUUGGGCGUAAAGCGCGCGCAGGCGGCUUCUUAAGUCCAUCUUAAAAGUGCGGGGCUUAACCCCGUGAUGGGAUGGAAACUGAGAGGCUGGAGUAUCGGAGAGGAAAGUGGAAUUCCUAGUGUAGCGGUGAAAUGCGUAGAGAUUAGGAAGAACACCAGUGGCGAAGGCGACUUUCUGGACGACAACUGACGCUGAGGCGCGAAAGCGUGGGGAGCAA